AAAUUGAAGAGUUUGAUCAUGGCUCAGAUUGAACGCUGGCGGCAGGCCUAACACAUGCAAGUCGAGCGGUAGCACAGAGAGCUUGCUCUCGGGUGACGAGCGGCGGACGGGUGAGUAAUGUCUGGGAAACUGCCUGAUGGAGGGGGAUAACUACUGGAAACGGUAGCUAAUACCGCAUAAUGUCGCAAGACCAAAGUGGGGGACCUUCGGGCCUCAUGCCAUCAGAUGUGCCCAGAUGGGAUUAGCUAGUAGGUGGGGUAACGGCUCACCUAGGCGACGAUCCCUAGCUGGUCUGAGAGGAUGACCAGCCACACUGGAACUGAGACACGGUCCAGACUCCUACGGGAGGCAGCAGUGGGGAAUAUUGCACAAUGGGCGCAAGCCUGAUGCAGCCAUGCCGCGUGUGUGAAGAAGGCCUUCGGGUUGUAAAGCACUUUCAGCGGGGAGGAAGGCGUUAAGGUUAAUAACCUUGGCGAUUGACGUUACCCGCAGAAGAAGCACCGGCUAACUCCGUGCCAGCAGCCGCGGUAAUACGGAGGGUGCAAGCGUUAAUCGGAAUUACUGGGCGUAAAGCGCACGCAGGCGGUCUGUCAAGUCGGAUGUGAAAUCCCCGGGCUCAACCUGGGAACUGCAUUCGAAACUGGCAGGCUAGAGUCUUGUAGAGGGGGGUAGAAUUCCAGGUGUAGCGGUGAAAUGCGUAGAGAUCUGGAGGAAUACCGGUGGCGAAGGCGGCCCCCUGGACAAAGACUGACGCUCAGGUGCGAAAGCGUGGGGAGCAAACAGGAUU
rnacentral:rRNA from 1 species